GAAUGUCUAGUAAGAACUAAACAUCAGUGGAUGAGCUAUACUGUGUAGUUGUACAUGUGCCUGCAAUCAUUACAUAAUACCUCGUGUGCGAAACACAUGUGUUUUCAAAGUUUUCUUGAUAUAUAUUCAUAUUUAUUGAUUGAUAGUACUUAAUAUUUUAAUAUCAUUAUUUAUUUUAAAUCUACCGCAAGUUAGUACCCAACACCAAUCACAUUCAAUCAGUUACAUACGGAGGUACAUAUCUAAUUUCUUAAGAAAACUACACCAACUACGAUAAGGAUACUUAUUAACAGUAACUACAAAAAAUAUUUGAUUAAUACUAUCCAAAAGUUUCAAAACUACAUUUUUGAUAAUCAUGAU